UUUUCUCCUCCACCAGGUCCGGGCCAACCGUUUCCGUGCGUCCCCCUCCACCGUUCCCUGCACUAGAGUUGAUCUCCUCUUUGCCUCGAGCUAGGGCUGAUCUGGAAGUCGGCCGGAGUCAGUCGUGGGCUUCGUCCAGAAUCCCGCGCGGAGAAGUUAACGAACGGAAGGGCCAGCCGGACCUGCCGUCUGUAGACAUGAGCCCGGCCGUAGCGGAAGCAGGGAGAGAAAGCGCCCCGGGCCCCGAUUCCCCCGAGCGCGACGCCACCGUCCCUGUGCCCAAGGAUACUUGUGUCUGGUUUCACAAGAAAGCAGGGUCUGAGGAGAGGAGGGGAUGGCGUGGGAGCCCAGUGGUUUCUCUUUGGUCUGAGGGACCCACUGGAGGCGAGGGGACCACAGUGAGGCGAGGGCUGUGGCCAGCUGCCCACAGAGCUCUUUUGUCACAUGUGCACAGGGCUCCCCGGUGAGUUCAGAUGCAGGUGGGACCGGCCACCAGAGCGAUGCCCUGUCUUCACCCCGUGUGAUUAAGGCUCUGUAGGGAACAGAGUGCCUGAUCGAUUCUAAAGGAACAUAUCAGGCCACUCUCUGGCCUCCCAAGUUUCUGAUGAGAAAUCUGCUCGCGAUCUGGAGGACCCUUCGUGUGAUGAGUUGCUUCCCUCUUGCCCCUUUCAAGAUUCGCAUCGCCGCUGGCUGUCAGCAGUUUGGUAAGAACCCGUCCUGGUGUGGGUCUCUUUGAGUUCGCUGUGUCGGAGUUCAUUGCGCUUCACGUUCGUUCCGCCAAAUUUGGGAAGCCUGCAACCAUCAUUUCAAGCACCGCGUCUGCCCCUUUGUCUCAUUCUUUUCCUUCUGGAACUCCCAUGAGGAGUAUGUUGGUCUGCGUGAUGGUUUCCCACAAGUCCCCAAGGCUCUGUUUACUUUUCCUCAUUCUUUUUUCUUUCUGUUCCUCAGACUCAAUAAAUACUAUCGUCCCUA